rnacentral:rRNA from 1 species
GACGAACGCUGGCGGCGUGCUUAACACAUGCAAGUCGAACGGAAAGGCCCUGCUUUUGUGGGGUGCUCGAGUGGCGAACGGGUGAGUAACACGUGAGUAACCUGCCCUUGACUUUGGGAUAACUUCAGGAAACUGGGGCUAAUACCGGAUAGGAGCUCCUGCUGCAUGGUGGGGGUUGGAAAGUUUCGGCGGUUGGGGAUGGACUCGCGGCUUAUCAGCUUGUUGGUGGGGUAGUGGCUUACCAAGGCUUUGACGGGUAGCCGGCCUGAGAGGGUGACCGGCCACAUUGGGACUGAGAUACGGCCCAGACUCCUACGGGAGGCAGCAGUGGGGAAUAUUGCACAAUGGGCGGAAGCCUGAUGCAGCAACGCCGCGUGCGGGAUGACGGCCUUCGGGUUGUAAACCGCUUUCGCCUGUGACGAAGCGUGAGUGACGGUAAUGGGUAAAGAAGCACCGGCUAACUACGUGCCAGCAGCCGCGGUGAUACGUAGGGUGCGAGCGUUGUCCGGAUUUAUUGGGCGUAAAGGGCUCGUAGGUGGUUGAUCGCGUCGGAAGUGUAAUCUUGGGGCUUAACCCUGAGCGUGCUUUCGAUACGGGUUGACUUGAGGAAGGUAGGGGAGAAUGGAAUUCCUGGUGGAGCGGUGGAAUGCGCAGAUAUCAGGAGGAGCACCAGUGGCGAAGGCGGUUCUCUGGGCCUUUCCUGACGCUGAGGAGCGAAAGCGUGGGGAGCGAACAGGCUUAGAUAUCCUGGUAGUCCACGCUGUAAACGGUGGGUACUAGGUGUGGGGUCCAUUCCACGGGUUCCGUGCCGUAGCUAACGCUUUAAGUACCCCGCCUGGGGAGUACGGCCGCAAGGCUAAAACUCAAAGGAAUUGACGGGGCCCCGCACAAGCGGCGGAGCAUGCGGAUUAAUUCGAUGCAACGCGUAGAACCUUACCUGGGUUUGACAUGGAUCGGGAGUGCUCAGAGAUGGGUGUGCCUCUUUUGGGGUCGGUUCACAGGUGGUGCAUGGCUGUCGUCAGCUCGUGUCGUGAGAUGUUGGGUUAAGUCCCGCAACGAGCGCAACCCUUGUUCACUGUUGCCAGCACGUUAUGGUGGGGACUCAGUGGAGACCGCCGGGGUCAACUCGGAGGAAGGUGGGGAUGACGUCGAGUCAUCAUGCCCCUUAUGUCCAGGGCUUCACGCAUGCUACAAUGGCUGGUACAGAGAGUGGCGAGCCUGUGAGGGUGAGCGAAUCUCGGAAAGCCGGUCUCAGUUCGGAUUGGGGUCUGCAACUCGACCUCAUGAAGUCGGAGUCGCUAGUAAUCGCAGAUCAGCAACGCUGCGGUGAAUACGUUCCCGGG